AUGGCCUGGACCCCGCUCCUCCUGGGCCUUUUGGCUCACUGCACAGGUUCUGUAUCUUCCUAUGAGUUGAAUCAGCCGCCCUCAUUAUCUGUGAACCCGGGAGGGGAGGCCAAGAUGACCUGUGCGGGAAACAACAUUGGAAGCAAAAGUGUUCACUGGUACCAGCAGAAGCCAGGCCAGACCCCUGUGCUGGUCAUCAAAUAUGAUAACAAGCGGCCCUCAGGGAUCCCUGACCGCUUUUCUGGUACUAAGUCUGGGGACACAGCCACCCUGACCAUCACGGGUGUGCGCACUGAAGACGAGGCCGACUAUUACUGUCAGGUGUGGGAUGGUAGUAGUAAUGAUCACAGUGGCACAGAGAGAUGGGGAAGCUACACAAAUUCAUUAGAAGAACAAAAUGGUCAGACAUAUGAGAAGGACAACUCACCUACAGACCAUCACAGAAGAGACAAUAAAAGUUACCCCUUAGACAAAAGAUAA